rnacentral:rRNA from 1 species
UACGUAGGUGGCAAGCGUUGUCCGGAUUUACUGGGCGUAAAGAGCGCGCAGGCGGUCGGAUAAGUCGAAUGUGAAAGCCCCCGGCUCAACUGGGGAGGGUCAUUCGAUACUGUUCGACUCGAAGGCAGGAGAGGGAAGUGGAAUUCCCGGUGUAGUGGUGAAAUGCGUAGAUAUCGGGAGGAACACCAGUGGCGAAGGCGGGUCUCUGGGACGGUACUGACGCUGAGACGCGAAAGCGUGGGGAGCGAACAGG